GGAGCUUAAAGUGGCCUGCAAAACUCAAGUGGUUUGGGGGCGUGGCCUGCAGAGUCCAGGUGGUGUGGGGGCGUGGCCUGCAGAGCCCAGGUGGUGUGGGGGCGUGGCCUGUGCCGUCUACCUGCGUGGUGUGCCAGUUGAAGCAGGUCUGCUUGUAGUGCCGGACUGCCGUCUUGUAGCAGCCGCGCUGCGUCAGCUCGGCUCUCUGGUUGAGCAGCUCGGCGGCCUUCACCUUGCUGCCCGUCACCUUCUCCACGAUG